rnacentral:rRNA from 1 species
UACAGAGGUCUCAAGCGUUGUUCGGAUUCAUUGGGCGUAAAGGGUGCGUAGGUGGCGCCGUAAGUCAGGUGUGAAAUCUCGGGGCUCAACCCCGAAACUGCACUUGAUACUGCGGUGCUCGAGUACUGGAGAGGAGGUUGGAAUUUACGGUGUAGCAGUGAAAUGCGUAGAUAUCGUAAGGAAGACCAGUGGCGAAGGCGAAUCUCUGGACAGUUACUGACACUGAGGCACGAAGGCCAGGGGGAGCAAAACCGGG